UAGUGUGCUUGCACAUUAUUUUAGUGGCGAACGGGUGAGUAAUACCUAGGAAUCUGCCCAUUAGCGGGGGAUAACGUGUGGAAACGCACGCUAAUACCGCAUACGCCCUACGGGGGAAAGCAGGGGACUCUUUUAGAGCCUUGUACUAAUGGAUGAGCCUAGGUCGGAUUAGCUAGUUGGUGGGGUAAAGGCCUACCAAGGCGACGAUCUGUAGCGGGUCUGAGAGGAUGAUCCGCCACACUGGAACUGAGACACGGCCCAGACUCCUACGGGAGGCAGCAGUGGGGAAUAUUGGACAAUGGGGGCAACCCUGAUCCAGCCAUGCCGCGUGUGUGAAGAAGGCCUUUUGGUUGUAAAGCACUUUAAGCGAGGAGGAGGCUACCUGUAUUAAUACUAUAGGCUAGUGGACGUUACUCGCAGAAUAAGCACCGGCUAACUCUGUGCCAGCAGCCGCGGUAAUACAGAGGGUGCGAGCGUUAAUCGGAAUUACUGGGCGUAAAGCGCGCGUAGGCGGUUUGUUAAGUCGGAUGUGAAAUCCCCGGGCUCAACCUGGGAAUUGCAUUCGAUACUGGCAAGCUAGAGUAUGGGAGAGGAAGGUAGAAUUCCAGGUGUAGCGGUGAAAUGCGUAGAGAUCUGGAGGAAUACCGAUGGCGAAGGCAGCCUUCUGGCCUAAUACUGACGCUGAGGUGCGAAAGCAUGGGGAGCAAACAGGAUUAGAUACCCUGGUAGUCCAUGCCGUAAACGAUGUCAACUAGCCGUUGGGGGAUUUGAUCCUUUAGUGGCGCAGCUAACGCGAUAAGUUGACCGCCUGGGGAGUACGGUCGCAAGACUAAAACUCAAAUGAAUUGACGGGGGCCCGCACAAGCGGUGGAGCAUGUGGUUUAAUUCGAUGCAACGCGAAGAACCUUACCUGCUCUUGACAUAGU
rnacentral:rRNA from 1 species